CCUACGAGCUGCAGCAGUGGGGAAUAUUGCACAAUGGGGGAAACCCUGAUGCAGCAACGCCGCUUGAAGGAAGACGGUUUUCGGAUUGUAAACUUCUAUCAAUAGGGAAGAAAGAAAUGACGGUACCUAAAUAAGAAGCCCCGGCUAACUACGUGCCAGCAGCCGCGGUAAUACGUAGGGGGCAAGCGUUAUCCGGAAUUACUGGGUGUAAAGUGAGAGUAGGCGGCAAGGUAAGCGAUAUGUGAAAGCCUUAAGCUUAACUUAAGGAUGGCAUAACGAACUAUCUAGCUAGAGUACAGGAGAGGAAAGCGGAAUUCCUAGUGUAGCGGUGAAAUGCGUAGAUAUUAGGAAGAACACCAGUGGCGAAGGCGGCUUUCUGGACUGAAACUGACGCUGAGGCUCGAAAGCGUGGGGAGCGAACAGGAUUAGAUACCCCAGUAGUC
rnacentral:rRNA from 1 species